AAAUCACCAUGAAUCAUUAAAGAGAAUUGAGACGUUAACAUCAGAAAGCAAUAAACCAGAAUGCUUAAAGUACCAAUGGCUCAAAACUGUGGCAUUUAGAAGUGAAUAUCAUUAGGGAAUUUAAACAUUUCAUAAAGUUACCAACAGCAAAUACAAUUUAUUUGCAAGUAUUACUGACCCCAUACUCAGUGAAGUUCCUGCCAGAACCUUCCAUCCUCGUCUUCCCUCACCUAAUCUUCAAAUAUCUUCA
rnacentral:misc_RNA from 1 species